AAGAGAGGUCGGGGACAAAAAGAACUGCUAAUUCUUUUAUCCAUAGUUCAACUCCAUGGCUCACUUAA